rnacentral:siRNA from 1 species
CAGGGAUCGAUGGACGACUA